AUUAACUGGAUUUUGUGCAGUUUUAUAUAUGUGCAAAAAAAUAAAAAAGCAAAUAAUAAAUAAAUAAAAUAAAAAUCAACAUUUAAGGCUAAGCAAAUUGCCUCAUGUACCUACACUCAAUAAUAAAAUACAAAAAACACCCCCAGCUUAUAUGAUAAUCAUAUUUAAGUUCGGUUGGCAUGACAUCCUUAUGACAUUAAACAAUCAUUUAAAAUACUUACCUGUUGUACUUUUAUGAUCAGGCACUUAAAGACACCUGCCUGUCAUACUGGAGAGGGUCCUGUGGGCGGGGCAGCUUCUUAUUAACGCUGUGCGUCUAAAGUUCAGCACACCUGAGUCAAACGAAGUCACAUCUGAUUCACACCUGAGUCAAAUGUUAAAGAAAAGACCGCAUCUGUUGUGUUGCCAGCUUUGUAAACAGACGGCUAAAUAACCGUUUAAACUAUAUGAGAAGGGCAGUUAUAGUUGUAUGAGGAACAAUAACGUAAAAACUGUGGAGACGCACUGAUGGAUGAAGUUGAAGCAUCCGCCUCUGAGAUUCAUCAGAAGAAUGCUGGAGGAAUUCACUCAGUCACUUUAUGAAGAUGCGAGAGCAGCGUGAUGGAACAGAGCGUCAGAAGGCGGUUGCAGGUGGACUUGUGUUUUACAUUUACCCGUGAGAACUAUGGAAGUGAACUAUGGAGUCUUCAGAUAUGCAGCCUCAAUGGAUGACAUCUGGGAAAAAGAGGAACGUUAUACAGACCAACUGAGACAACAUCUUCUCUGUGCUGAAGCUGAGAAAAGACAUGAGGUGUUGGAGGAGGAGCAGAGUGGAUGGAGACGAGGACAUCAAGGAGCUGCUGCUGAGACAAAAUCUAAGACAAGCAGAGAAUGCUCAGAAUCCAUGAUGAAUAUUAUCUUGACCGUGCAUCUCUAAGCACAGAGGAGUAAUGAAGCAAAACCUUGGCAAACAUAACCUUAAGACCUCCACACACCCACUCUUAACCCCGUCUUCAGCUCCAGUGGUGGGGAGAGUCCCUCCUACCCCCAUGCCGAUGAUGCAGGAAGGGCCGCGGCUCGGACACGGGGCAGUGGCCAUAGACAACACAAAAGGUUGUGGUGGUAAACAGAGCUGUUUGUGUUCACUGGGCCGCUGUUGGAGAUGACUGAUGUGCCCAUUAGCCCCUGUCUGGGCAUUAGGGGGAGGGGUGGCGGCACUCGGGCUCCACGCAGGACAAAAAGACCCCUGGGCCUCCAGAGAAAGGUCACUGACCCAUAUUGUGUCUCCUUCAGGCCCAGCCAGUGGUUAUUUCACUGAUUCAGGUUACAGAGAUUGGCUUCGUCAAAGCUGAUGUAUGCAAAUGGACAAAUGCUGUAGGUUAAGCGUGAUGAUGUGGGAUAGAGCUCUGAAUGGAGAAUAUUGCUGCUGUGCACUAUUGUAGACAAAAAAAUCAUAAUGUUAUACUGUGUGUUUGAGUCAAAAUAGAAAAAAUAAGGUGUUUUCAGUUUGCUUAUUGUGUGUGAUGUAGUGUGCUUUGUCUUCCACUAGAGAGUGCCCUCCUUUACAUCUGUUCUUCAUUUAAGAGAGAAAAAUGCAUGUAUAUAAAUCCCUUUAUUUUGAUCAGAAACAAACAUUUAAUUUGAAUAAAAUCGUACAUUCUUUGUUAUUUAUAUAUCAUCUAUAAAAAAUCAAGUAAAAAAUGCAGCACAAAUACAGAAAUUACACAUUUACAAAUCUU